rnacentral:rRNA from 1 species
UACAUGGGGUGCAACCGUUGCUCGGAAUUAUUGGGCGUAAAGCGCGCGUAGGCGGUUACUCAAGUCGGAUGUGAAAGCCCUCGGCUUAACUGAGGAAGUGCACCCGAAACUGAGUAGCUAGAGUACUAAAGAGGGUCGCGGAAUUCCCGGUGUAGAGGUGAAAUUCGUAGAUAUCAGGAAGAACACCCGUGGCGAAGGCGGCUCUCUGGGACGGUACUGACGCUGAGACGCGAAAGCGUGGGGAGCGAACAGG